rnacentral:lncRNA from 1 species
AGUUUGUGUGGAAGGUGAGGUGGAGGAAGUAGUUAUAGUGGUUGAGAGUGUGGGGGGUGGUUGAGGUAAUGAUGAGGAAAGUUGUCUAGAACCAGAAGAAAUUGGGGCUUAUAAGAUAAGGGACUUACUUGGUGUUGAAGAGCUCAGAGGCAUAAGCUGCUUCUGAUUUGCUGAAGACUCUCCCACCUUGAGACUCUUCUUGUUCUUCUUCUUCUGAGAUAGUUCACUUUUUCUCUUCAGGAAGUUGGGGGGUUGAUCCGGGAGCCAGUCCAAGCUAAAACCUACGAUAUCAAUACCUCGGGAUUCCAG